GUGACAUUUUUGUUUAUGUCAAAACCACUAAUUGCGGUGGUCAUAUAAAUGUAUAAAGGAUAGUGGUGUCAAAAACUAUUUUAUAUGACAGGAAUGGUUUUUCAUAUCUUCUAAUUUUUAAAAUAUUAGUAUUGUCUUGAAGUGGGUCAUAUGUGCUUAUUUUCUUUUUUUCUUUUUUACUCUGGUAUUUAACCUAUUCUAUUAAAUUAAACUUCCCAACCUGCCAGCAGAACAAGCGCACACAGGAAUUAUAUUUUAGAAAAAUAUACAUGCAGGAAUUAUUUAAAAAAAAUAUGUGAGCAUCAGAGUUCGAACUCACAACCCAGAGGGGUUCAAAAGCUCCAGACAAUCCACUACAAUACACCAACAUUUAUGCUGGUGAUUGAACUUAUAGUUUUUAAUAAUUAGCAAGGGCGCGACG
rnacentral:lncRNA from 1 species